rnacentral:rRNA from 1 species
AUACGGAGGGUGCGAGCGUUAAUCGGAAUUACUGGGCGUAAAGCGCGCGUAGGCGGCUUUGUAAGUCGGAUGUGAAAGCCCUGGGCUCGACCUGGGAAUUGCACUCGAUACUGCAGAGCUAGAGUAUGGUAGAGGGAAGUGGAAUUUCCGGUGUAGCGGUGAAAUGCGUAGAUAUCGGAAGGAACACCAGUGGCGAAGGCGACUUCCUGGGCCAAUACUGACGCUGAGGUGCGAAAGCGUGGGGAGCAAACAGGAUUAGAUACCCCAGUAGUCC